rnacentral:rRNA from 1 species
AGCGAACGCUGGCGGCAGGCCUAACACAUGCAAGUCGAACGGAUCCUUCGGGAUUAGUGGCGGACGAGUGAGUAACACGUGGGAACGUGCCCUUUGGUUCGGAACAACCCAGGGAAACUUGAGCUAAUACCGGAUGUGCCCUUCGGGGGAAAGAUUUAUCGCCAUUGGAGCGGCCCGCGUCUGAUUAGCUAGUUGGUGAGGUAACGGCCCACCAAGGCGACGAUCGGUAGCUGGUCUGAGAGGAUGAUCAGCCACACUGGGACUGAGACACGGCCCAGACUCCUACGGGAGGCAGCAGUGGGGAAUCUUGCGCAAUGGGCGAAAGCCUGACGCAGCCAUGCCGCGUGAAUGAUGAAGGUCUUAGGAUUGUAAAAUUCUUUCAGCGGGGACGAUAAUGACGGUACCCGCAGAAGAAGCUCCGGCUAACUUCGUG